rnacentral:tRNA from 1 species
GCCCAGGUGGCGGAACGGUAGACGCAGUGGAUUCAAAAUCCACCGUAGGCAACUACGUGGGGGUUCAAGUCCCUUUCUGGGCACCA